rnacentral:rRNA from 1 species
AUUGAACGCUGGCGGCAGGCCUAACACAUGCAAGUCGAACGGUAACAGGAAACAGCUUGCUGUUUCGCUGACGAGUGGCGGACGGGUGAGUAAUGUCUGGGAAACUGCCUGAUGGAGGGGGAUAACUACUGGAAACGGUAGCUAAUACCGCAUAACGUCGCAAGACCAAAGAGGGGGACCUUCGGGCCUCUUGCCAUCGGAUGUGCCCAGAUGGGAUUAGCUAGUAGGUGGGGUAACGGCUCACCUAGGCGACGAUCCCUAGCUGGUCUGAGAGGAUGACCAGCCACACUGGAACUGAGACACGGUCCAGACUCCUACGGGAGGCAGCAGUGGGGAAUAUUGCACAAUGGGCGCAAGCCUGAUGCAGCCAUGCCGCGUGUAUGAAGAAGGCCUUCGGGUUGUAAAGUACUUUCAGCGGGGAUGAAGGGAGUAAAGUUAAUACCUCUGCUCAUUGACGUUACCCGCAGAAGAAGCACCGGCUAACUCCGUG